CGUGAGGGAAAGGCGAAAAGAACCCCGGCGAGGGGAGUGAAAAAGAACCUGAAACCGUGUACGUACAAGCAGUGGGAGCCUCUUUAUGGGGUGACUGCGUACCUUUUGUAUAAUGGGUCAGCGACUUAUAUUCUGUAGCAAGGUUAACCGAAUAGGGGAGCCGAAGGGAAACCGAGUCUUAACUGGGCGUUAAGUUGCAGGGUAUAGACCCGAAACCCGGUGAUCUAGCCAUGGGCAGGUUGAAGGUUGGGUAACACUAACUGGAGGACCGAACCGACUAAUGUUGAAAAAUUAGCGGAUGACUUGUGGCUGGGGGUGAAAGGCCAAUCAAACCGGGAGAUAGCUGGUUCUCCCCGAAAGCUAUUUAGGUAGCGCCUCGUGAAUUCAUCUCCGGGGGUAGAGCACUGUUUCGGCAAGGGGGUCAUCCCGACUUACCAACCCGAUGCAAACUGCGAAUACCGGAGAAUGUUAUCACGGGAGACACACGGCGGGUGCUAACGUCCGUCGUGAAGAGGGAAACAACCCAGACCGCCAGCUAAGGUCCCAAAGUCAUGGUUAAGUGGGAAACGAUGUGGGAAGGCCCAGACAGCCAGGAUGUUGGCUUAGAAGCAGCCAUCAUUUAAAGAAAGCGUAAUAGCUCACUGGUCGAGUCGGCCUGCGCGGAAGAUGUAACGGGGCUAAACCAUGCACCGAAGCUGCGGCAGCGACACUAUGUGUUGUUGGGUAGGGGAGCG
rnacentral:rRNA from 1 species